rnacentral:lncRNA from 1 species
CGCGGAGGUCAGGAGGGAGGGCAGAGGGGGUCAGAGGCCGGCCCUUCCCGGCCCCCGGCGCCCCCGGAGGUCAGGGAGAUAAGAAACAAUGACUCUCGCCCCCGGGAGGAGGAAGGAAGCCCCGCUGCCGCCGCCUUAUCUCCGCUCCCGUGCGUUCUCCCAGUUCCCAGAGCUGGUUCUCUAGAGAGGACUUGGAAGGCGGCUUUUGUGCUGACGGCCAGCCCCAUCAUCUGAGGGAGGUGAAUUUGGCAAAUGACAUGCAGGUUCUCCAAGACAGAGUAAUCACAGAAAAUUGUCAAAGGACCCCCUCUGCAGAUGUCCUGAACACUUCUGACUACAGCAAUUGAUUUUUCAACCGGGAUACCUAAUUCCAGGUAUUAGCUCUUGUCAGAAAGCUUUUACAUCCAAGCU